AUGAAAGCUCUUCUUAAACCAGUGUAAAAUUUCUGAAUGCAAUUCAUUGGGAUUCUCUUUCCAUACUUCUCUUAGCAUCGCACAACUAUCAAUCGACAAUGUCUUUAACUUAUACAUAAGGUCGCCAACCCGUCUUUCACCUACAGCCUCUUGGCCCAAAAUGAUACUGGGACGAGCUGCCAUAAAAUUACGGACAGAGCUUAAGCAUGGCAAAACAUGGCCUUCGAGUAAAGCAUAAGCAAAUACCUUCACACGAUCCACAUCACUGGUAACUGAUACACUGUAUAAUGGCAACUGCCAAAGGUAAGGCCCAAAAGUUGGAAUGACCCAGUGAUAUACUUGGUCAGUUUGAGGCUCAUAAUAAGGUUUGCAAUGCCACAAGAAAGUUUUGCAAUAGUCAUCACCAUGAAUGUCCACAAGUUUAUGAAGUAGGUUGCCCCACAAAGAAAAAUAAAAGCACCAAAUUGCAUGAGCACCCAUCCAUAAAGGAAGAAUGCAAAUUUUUGCACAAAGCAUAUGAGCUCAAUGGGUAUAGAGAAGUAAAUCACAAAGAAAAUGUAAAUCUGAUAACCAUCACAAAGAAAAUGUUUUGAUGAACCUAUUAGAAUAGGUAACAAUAGUGCCUGUACGAGUUUAUAGAGUAAAAACUGCCAUUAUUACUUGCAAAAUAAUAUGGCUCGAACAGAGAACCUUCCUUGGUUGCUUGCUCUUAGCAUUGGUUAUGGCAUGCCUCAGGAUUAGAAACUAAUCUGUUACAUACAAUUCAACAGAGACUCUGAUUCCAAUUGUCUCAAAUGCAAACAAUUUUUAUCAUAUAUUUGCAAUUUUCCUCAGUCAGUACUCAGUAGACUUCUAUGUUACAAGCAAAAAUAGGCACAUAGGAUUACCUUACACACUUUGUAAUCAAUCGGUUUCACUCAAGUGAAGGAAGCUUCAUUUCUAUUUUGGCACAACUCAAGGAAGCUCUUUCAGAAUAGGAACAAUGUUAUACCAGUAUCUCCAAUCUAGCUCCCCAUAUCCUUUUUCUUUUUAUCCUUCUUCACCUUCUUAAGAAAGCGUUCAUGAGGCUCUAAUUGUACUUCAACAUGCAUCUGUGUCCAAAGUGCUCCAAAAUGAUCAUGAAAGCUCUUCUUAAACCAGUGUAAAAUUUCUGAAUGCAAUUCAUUGGGAUUCUCUUUCCAUACUUCUCUUAGCAUCGCACAACUAUCAAUCGACAAUGUCUUUAACUUAUACAUAAGGUCGCCAACCCGUCUUUCACCUACAGCCUCUUGGCCCAAAAUGAUACUGGGACGAGCUGCCAUAAAAUUACGGACAGAGCUUAAGCAUGGCAAAACAUGGCCUUCGAGUAAAGCAUAAGCAAAU
rnacentral:lncRNA from 1 species